rnacentral:rRNA from 1 species
AUGCCUCCGCGCCGGCGAGAUCCGCGAGCGGCGACCGCGGCCGCAUCCCCUCCGUGCCGGCGAGAUCCGCGAGCGGCGACCGCGGCCGCACCCCCUUCCCCUCCUCGACUGCUCCCCCACAUCCUCGAAUCCUUCCCGGAGAUGGUGAGGCUGAUCUCACCGGUUCCGCAGGGGAUACUCAUGGCGACCGGGGCUCGGGGAUGGGUGGAGCGGGUGACCAGGAUCCGCGACGCCACCGCGGCGUGGAUCCGGCGCGUACAGGAGUGGAAGGCGGCAGAUCAGGCGAUGACGGCGGCGAUAGAUCCGAGCGUGAGAUCCGCGGCUAUGAGAUAUGCAGAGAGUUGUCAGAGGAGAGCAGAUCUGGAACAGAGGAUUUUGGCGAGGGUGAUCUACGAUGAGGCCACAGCGGAGGAAAGAGCAAGGAUGCCCGCGCUCCCGCACUCCCCGCCGGCUACGUUUGUUUUGUGGGCGAGGGCGGAGGCGAAGUCAGAGGAAUCCCGGAGGGCGCUGCGGUGGGAAUGCUUGCAGGGAGUGAUGCCGUCGGGUGCACCACUGCGGCUCUCGUCCUCGCCGCCGAAAACCAGCCGUGUUUGA